CCACAGCUGAAGGUCAGUCCCCAAAGCUGGUUAUGGUUGAAAGGGAGGAAAAGCUGCUCCCACGUGGCUCUGGCUGAGGCUUCCGAGACUCUGCAGGUGGGGGCCGUCUGUCUUCCCCAGGUGGGAGCUACUUCUUUUUAGAAGCAGGCUCCACGGCGGUUUUCAGGUGUGGCCUUGCCCAGCGUCCCGAUGUUUUGCUUCCUGCCUGGCCUCGGCGCUCUUUGAUGACCUCCUCUUGCCACACACUGUGGUCUCCAUAGGCUGCCCACUGCUGAUCCGAGGCUGGUGGCCCCCAGCACACGUGGGUUUCUGAGGAACACGCUGAGACUCUCGGGCCAUGCCGUGACACAGGGGAGACAGCGUCUGCUCUUUUUCCAUUUUUGUUCGUUUUCAGUGCUCUGACCCUCAGGAAGCCCACUUAAGCAUCCCAGAAUCCAGACGGCCGUGAACAAAGCUGCUGUGGUUUGGGGCUGCAAAACUGGCCCACAGCCCACCUGGAUAACUGAAUCGAACAUGCCUCAGCCGCCCUCACCACAGGCACCAUCCCCCUCACAGAAGUUUGAUGUCUGAUCAUUCAGCACUGGCUGAGCCUCAGAGCUAAAAUGGAAAAUGCAUUUUAUGAGCAGAUAACACAUUUUUGGAAUGGCUACUUUAAACAUUGUGGAUACAGAUUCACAGAGACUAUUUUUAGAUGAAUUAUUUCUUCUAUUUACCAUACUGAUUUGCUGGAAGAAAGAAAAACAAUAUUUUAAAAAGGGAAAACAUUCUUUAAAAGCAGUGACUCUAAAUUUCCCCUGAAGAGCAAAAUGCUGUCUGUGUCUCACUCAAUGUGGUGGCUGCUACAGGAGGAUCUUCCCAGGCCUUCUCAGGGAAUUCCCAUCAGGAUCACAGGAAUGGUACCUGGCAGACACAACCCAGUCUGCACCUUCCAUGGGCCACAGCUGAUGGUACGAGGAGAGGUGUGACAUCUGCCUGACCUCAGCUCUGGGGGUUCCUGUGGGUGGACAGAAGGAGCCCUGGAGGCCCGGCCAGGAUGCGUCAUCUGUGGCUACCACGUGGAUUCUCUGGUGUGCUGAGUCAAGGCAGCGAUCUUCCAAGUGUGGUCGCUGUACCUCCAUCAGCACCUCCUGGGACUUGUCAGGACGCUGACCCGGGCCCCAGCCAAGUUCUGCUGCUGCCUCAGGGGGACAGAGGCAGGGCCUCACUGUCUGAUGAUCCAGCCCUGCAGGGGGCCCGCUGCACCUGCAGGUGUGAGAGCCGCCGCUGAAUUAAGGUGACUGGAAGGUUUCAGGGCAUGGGAGGGAGGUAGAUCAUUUGGGGCUGAGAAGCACUUUUGCAUCUCUUUCCUGCCCAGAAGCGACCAGAGAGGCCAGGCAUUGUCACCUGGAGACUUUGGAAAUGAAGCCCUGAGCUGAUCUAAUAAUUUCUGGCAAAUUCUAUGGGGUUGCUUCAUGAAUUAGGAAAAGCCAUAGAAACUCAAGUGUAAAUCGUGUGUUAUAUCCCAGGGCCGCGCGCUUAAUGUGGACUGUGGAGCUUGUACGCAGCCUGUCACACCCUGCCAGCCUCAAUACGGCUCUCCUUACCCCGGGCCUCUGCACGCACAUAUGAAAGGCAACCUCACCUCUGUGGCUUGCAUGGUUCAGCGAUUCAUACUGUGUUAGUAUUCCUAAUCUAUUUCUAAGUAACUUAAUUUUUCUCGAAAAUAGUAAUUUAAAAUGUUGUCCAUAUAGAUGAAUAACAAUCAGAAAACUUUCCUUAGGGAUGCUAAAACAUCAUUAAUUAGCAAUAAAACAAAUUUAAGUUUUAUGAGCUGUCGUGGCAUUUAUCAUUCUGUAAGAUUGCAAACAUAGUUUUCCAUAGAUGUCAUAAUUCAUUAAGAGAAGUGGUGAAAUUUGGAUGUGUUUGAAAGAACAAGGAACUAGAUUAAACACCCUCUGCUGCACCGCAGGGGCUGACGAGGGAAGACAUAGGUGGUGUCUGAAACGUUCUGUGGCUACAGAGUCCUCUUUCAUAUCCUUCCUUUAGGGAGAGACUCGGGAGAGACUCAGAAGAGAGGUGUUUUCCGGCAAUAGCAGAGCAUAGGAACCUCUUGAUAGACCACUGAGAUGAGUCAGCAUCGGCAGCCUGCACAGGGUGGUGGGGUGGGCUGGGGCCUCAGUGAGUGGGGUGCAGACAGGGGCUUCUCUCCACCUGCCAAGAUUCCACUCAAAUGCUGCGUCUCCCUGAAGCCCCUCCCAUCUUCACAGACCUUCAUUUAACACUUACUGAAGGGUAGAUGGUUGUAUAGCUCACUGAGGUGUCUGACUCCCUGACCAGACUGUGGGACUCUUCAGAAUGAAACAGACUUUUCCUUCUUUAUUUUCCCCGUUUCUAACUUAGUCAUGCACAGAAUAAACGCUUGGUAAGACUCUACUGAAUGAUGAUACUUCUCCAGGACGAAGGUGCCUGUGAAGAAUGGGAAGGCCUGGUGCCGUAGUGUCUUAGAUUCUGAUAUGCCACAUGUCCUGCUUAUCACCCUGAAGUCUCAAAAGAUAAUCAACUUGUUAAACACUGUGCUUUGUACCUACUUCAUUUUUUAAAGAGCUUUUAUUUUGACUGUUGGACAUCACGGUUAUUCUUCCUGAACUCAGCCCUGAUAGUGCAGUGCCCCAGUACAAGUCCCUGGCACAUUGGCCUGGAGUUUAAGGCUCUGCAUACCCCACCCGGGCAUCCUGCUUCCCCUGCACAAUCGCUUUGCUGGAUCAGUGCUAGCUGGGUCUGUCUCUCCAGCGCUUUAGAAGCCGCCCUCCUGCUGUGUCUUCGCUCAUUCUGUUCCCUUCUCCCGGUCCCCCACUGUUUGCUGCUUUGCUUUUUAUUUCUCAAGGCUCAGUUCAAAAGCCACCAUUUCCACCAAGACGUGGUGACCUCAACUGGAUUGGAGACAACGCCUCUCCCCAGCUCCUCUGGAAUAUGGUUCUGUCCUCUGAGCCUGGUAUCGGCGUCGAUGCUGUCUACAUGCGCUGCUGGCUGGUCGCCUACUGGAUGUGUCUGCCCGCUGGGGGAAGGAACCAGGCCCUGGAAUGGGAUCCUGAGUAGGAGCACAGUCUGGAUAUUCCUGCAGGAGUGAAGAGACAUUCUCAGGGCGGAUGUUGCCAGGACAAAGAAACACAAGCAACAACAAGAACAAAACUGGAGGACGCCCCUGACAUGGAUUCGGCACCCUCAUGGCCUUGUUUUAACUUAAUCAACUCUGCAACGACCCUGUCUCCAAUUUUUCAAAGAGCUAAAAGUGGAAAUACCAUUUCACUCAGGAAUCCCAUGACUCAAAGGAAAAUAAAUACUUCUAUCAAAAAGACACAUACACUCACAUGUUUAUCAUGGCACUAUUCACAACA
rnacentral:lncRNA from 1 species